GCUCCAGGCCAAAGCUCUCAUGGAGAUGGACUAGAACAGCCAGGCUUGUCUAUCUGUAUCUAUCUUUAUAAAUAUGACUUUAUGGAGUUCAAAUGCAAUAUUGAAAUAAAUACUGGUUUUCCAGAGAGGGGUGUGUGUGUGUGUGAGAGAGAGAGAGAGAGAGAGAGAAAGAGAGGCUUGUCUAUUGAGCAAACCGUGUGUCAACUGAUUUCGUGAGAGAGGAAGACAAACUGCCUUGUCCUUUGGAGAUCGAACUGCCGAAGUGACAUUUGAAGUUCGGUAUCCAGGCUCCAGUAAAGCUCGCGAGCAUCGUGGGAGACACCAAGCUCGACAGCACACACCAGACACACUCAGGACCACCUUGCUGACAGUGGCAGAUUCUGCAGUUAAAGCUGAAGGCCGACACCAAGAGAGGACACCUGUCAUCACGUUUUUUGCUUGGAAAACAGAGUUGAAGAAACACACACCGUCCACAACGUACCCUGAAAGCACACGAUGACAGAUGUGGUUCAUCUAGCCGCAGUGCUUCACGAAGCAGCGUCUCCGAAAAGCUCCGUUACUCUCCACCUCUAGGAGGCUUGCAUCCUUGGAGGGGUGACCUUUGACCGCCACACUGGAGGAGAACUAGAGUAUGAUGCUGAGAUGUGACAGAGAUCCUUUUGUGUGUGAGGUGCUGGAGCCCAAAAGGGGGUCCCUGAGGGGCUGAAGUCAAGACCACUUGAAACAUGAAACAUGGCAUUGUUUCCCUAAACUGUGGUUUUAAUGGACCAGUAAAAUUUACUCUUUGCAGUGUUACAUGUAGCCACAGCUUUUUGCCAUAAAGCAGUUGUUUUAAGAGUAAAUCAAUGCUUAAAGACCUAUAGAGAGAUGAAUAAUUUC
rnacentral:lncRNA from 1 species